UUAUCUUUUGGUAAAUAUUAGAUUGAAUGUGAAGCACACCAAUACCGACACAACCAUUGAUGGACAUCUUAGAAGCAUCUGUAUACAUAUGGUUAGCACCCUGAUAAUCAGUAUCAAUAAAACUCAGAAAUUGUUGAUUUUGAUCUAUAUCAUUCUUUGAUAUACCUAUAUCCAGGAGAACUGGUGGAACUAGUAUAAGAGACUCAUAUUCAUGCUGAAAAAUGGGAAGUGAUGAAGAGCUAAUAGUGGGAGCUGAAAUAGAUUUAAGUUUUUGAAAACUUUUGAUUAAGCAAGGAGGGCUCUUGUGUUUCCAAUAGUUGGAUGUACUUAUUUGAAGUAGAAGGUUAGACAAGAUAAUCCAGAGUUGGUGAUUAGAGAAUUGGGAGCAACGGAAAAUAAAUCUAUCACAAAGAUAUUGGCGUCGUAAAUGGAGCGGAGGCUCACAACACUCAACUUGCAUAGCAUUGAUAGGGCUUGAUUUCAUGGCACCACAAAUUAUUCUCAAGGCUUUAGAUUGAAUAUGAUCUAGUUUUUGGAAGCCAACGACAUAUCCAGGCUCUAACAAAAAUGUCCCAUAAUCUAAAAUGCUUCUUAUUAAGGCAUUGUACAUUAGUUUCAUACAAAAAGGAUGGGAACCCCACCAAACUCCAGAAACACACCUAAGGAUAUUAAUAUUUUUUUUCACAUUUAGAAACUAUGUACUCACAAUGUGGGAGGCCUGUUAAUUUACUAUCUAAAAUGACACCAAGGAAUUUAGUUUUAUCUUUUACUGAAAUGGAGUAGUUAUCAAAUUGCACAUUGAUUGGAGGAGGAAAUAGUUUUCUAGUAAAUAAAACUACAACACUUUUAGGAACAGAAAGUUCUAAACCAUUAGAAUCUAACCAUGACCUCAAGAAACAUAAGGAACAAGUGACUGAUCUACUAGCCUGUUCAGGAGAAAGAUUUGAUGAAUAAAGUAAUAAAUCAUCGGCAUACUGUAAGACCCUAACAGUACCAUUUAGAGAUGACUCUAAAUCAGAUGUAUAGAUAUUGUAUAAUAAUGGACUUAAUACAGACCCUUGUGGUAGACCUCUCCACACUAAACGAGAAAUUCUAUUGUUGUCAUUUAUAAGACUGAUGGACCGUUCAGAUAAAAGGUUUAUUACAAAAUGACUUAACAUUUGUGGAAUGCCUAACUUGAAAAGCUUUUCCUGUAACACUGAAACUAAUACAUUAUCAUAAGCAGCACUUAUAUCCAGAAAAGCAGCUACUACUGACUCAUUUUUAGAAAAUGCCAGUCGUAUAUCUGCAAUUAAUAUUGACAAACUAUCAUAAGUAGAUCUACCUUUUCGGAAUCCAAACUGACUAUGAGAUAAUAAAUGGUUCUUUUCAACAAAAAAAUUCUAGCCUGUUUUUAAUUAAGUGUUCAGCUACUUUUGCAAAUACUGAGGAAAGGGCAAUAGGGCGAUAGAAGAAACAUCUGAUGCUGGUUUAUUGGGUUUUAAAAUAGGAAUAACUAUCUGGGAUCUCCAUGAAUCUGGGACUAUACCGGACUGGAUAACCGAAUUUAUUAUGCUCAGAUAAUAAGAAAUACAUCAUCAGCUGCUUCUGUAAUCACCCGGGCCAAAGCAACCGAGCAACCAACUACGUCAGUAUCAUCUAAACUAGGCAAAAAACAAUAAUUUCUUCUCUACACAGCAUUUAAAGUUUUUCCAGUCAGCAUUACAUAGAUUGUAUUUAAGCCUAGGGCUAGGUUUCGGAGAUGGUCGUGUAGAUGAAGGAAAUGAGACUAUAAUUGGAAAAUGAUCACUACCAAAUGUAGAAUCUAGAGUUUGCCAGGUGAAAGAAGAUGCCAGUUCAGCAGAGCAAAUGGAUAGAUCAACAGCGCUGGGUGAUUCUGUAGGCGCUGUACGGCGAGUUGGAGAGCCAGUAUUUAGGACACAAAGAUUGUGAUCAUCUAAGAUUUUUAAAACACGAUGUCCAUUAUAGUUGGAUACUGAACUGCCCCAAAACUGAUGGUGUGAAUUGAAAUCUCCUAGAAUCAACAAGGGCCUAGGUAGAGAGGAAAUUAUUUGUUCUAAUUCAUUAAAAAUAGAAGAUGAUUGAUGAGGAAUAUAUACAGAGAGGAUGCAGAUGUUAUUUACAAUGGCAGCAAUAAUUGAAAAAUCAUCACUAUGAGAUGGGAGAUGAAGAGAUGAAAAUGAUUCAGAAUUCCUGACGAGUAAAGCUACUCCACCCCACCCGUCAGGACGGUCCUCUCUGAGGCAUGAAUAGCCAGUAGCUCUUAGAAGAGCUCCAGGCUUGAGCCAUGUCUCAGAUAGGGCAAAAACACAAGGUUUAAAUUUAUUUAGUAAAUGAAUGAAAUCAUGUUUUUUAUUGAUUAUGCUUCUGCAAUUCCAUUGUAUUAUAUUGUCCAUUGUUUUUAAUUGCAAAUGUAAGAGAGUCAAUCAUAGGGGCAACGUGGGACGGUAAAGUAAGGUUUGGCUUGGACAAAAGAGUUCUUAAGGCCUCAAUAGACUCAGCGAUUACUAGUCGUUCUUCCUUUUCUGUUUCCUGACGUAGAGCACAACCGUUUGCAGGAGAAGGGAUGGAGUAUUCACUUAUUAUGGCCCGAUGUGCAGCCACAUCAUAGCCAUGGGUAGUCUUUUUAACAGAAGGACGAGGUUUCAACAAAAUAGUUUUUCUGCUGCUAUGGCUAGGAGGGCGCAUAUUCGAACUAGGGUUUGUAACUGAAUUUUGAGCACUAUUAUGUGGUAAAUUUGAUUGUAUAUGUGGUUGUGACUUAACCAUAUCAGCAAACGAUUUCGAUAUAGCUGGGUGCAGUUUAACGGCUUCUCCAUAGGAGAUGCAGUUAUUUGCCAUACUGACUUUAAUUUCUUUUUGCCUUACAUGUUCUGGGCAUGACCUGUUUGUGGCAAAGUGAAAGCCAUUGCAUAAACAGCAAAUGGCAUCCUCCUCCUCCACUGCACAGGUAUUUCCAGGAUGCAUUUCCCCGCACUUGAAACAUUUAGGCUUCGAACGACAGUUAUUUUUGGUAUGUCCAAAUUUACAGCAUAAAAAGCAUUGAAUGGUAGGAAAAAUGUACAAUUCAACGGCAAGAGAGUUGUAGCAUGAAAAGACUCGUUUCGGUAAUACUUGACCGUCAAAUGUCAAUACAACUGUCUCUGAGGGUUGCCAGGUAACAGAACCGUUAACCACAACUCUGUGGUUCAAAACGUCGUACUUUUAAUACUUUUCCACACCCCAUGGGCACGGAAAUGUUGGAAACUAUUUCCUCCUCCGACCACUGUGCUGGAAUACCUCGAACCAAGCCCAUACGGGUCACAGAAAACGACGGAAUGUAUGCGGUAAGAUUUUCUGAUUCAAGACACGUAUCAGUAACAAAUAAGUUUGCGUCAACGUAAUUUGAAAACGACAUCGCUAUACGUGUCCUACCAAUGCGCUUAACACUUCCAUUUAUAAUGUUUCUGAAGCCUUUUUUUUAGUAAAAAUUUCCCAAAGGACACCGGGUGCAGAGAUGAUUUUGCAUCUGUUUGUUUCAUUUGUACGUGCACCGUGAAGGGAGCAACAUCGGAAGAUGAAAAUAAAUUCCUGCCAACCUUGGUAUUAGAAGAGUCAUUUUUUGUAUUUAAGUUAUCCGAAGAGUUUUUGGUAACCUGAAUGUUAGAGUUUGAAGGAGCUUGGGUUUCUUGUAUGAUGUUCUGACAAUCGCACGAAUAGUCCCCGCCAUUAUUUUUCCUUCUUUUUUUAUUACAUGUUUUGCAUCUUU